rnacentral:lncRNA from 1 species
AAGGCGGCGCUGGGAGCCGCUCAGAGCCCAGAGAAGCGGCGCGCGGCCAGGAGCCCCCGCUCCGCCACUGCCGUGCCUGCCUCCCGCAGCUGUCUGCCAUGCGCUCGCCGGGGCAGGGGCGCCCGGAGGGCGGCUAGAGCUGGGCCUGAGCCCGGGAACGCGCCUGAUCAGGGGUGGCGGAGCCGCGGUCCCCACAGCCGCCCCACCCGCGCCGCUGCCUCGCUGGGGCCCGGGCCCCCUUCCCGUUACUCCCCUGCUGGUGCCUCCCUCCUUGGCGCGCUUCCCACCUGCGAUCGGCGCCCUCUUCGCAGUCACGAACUCGCCAGCAGCUAGCAGCACUGACUAGUAGGAGGGCCCGCCGGAGGAGAGGACAUGCUCUGGAGUCAGAAGACAGCGAAAAGAGAAGCAGAAGCCCCGGUGGCAAGAGUCUGAAGCAGGAAGGAUGACUGUAGCCUGUGGAUUGUACUGCAGUAGGAAACUGUCCUAGCAAGGCUCCACUUUGCCCCAGCUUCAAGCUGGAAAGGAGGAGAACAUGAAACAUUGCUUGAAGACAAUGGCCGAGACAGCAGGUCCCACCCUGCACAGCCACCAGCAUCUCUCCCCUCAGCCCUGUCUCCUCUUCUGCAGUUGGGAUCUGCACAUUUAAGCCUGAAAUUGUCCUGUGAAGUGAAGUAUGAUCGGACAGCCUCUUUUCAGCUUUUAUGACAAUGGAGACAGAGGAAUUGUGGCUCUUGCCAAGGUCACAGGAUUGGAAUACAGAGCCAAGCCACCCCAGGACAUGCAAGAGCCUCAGAAGGGAAAAAAGCCCAGCAGGAAGGGAGAACAAGUAGCCUCUGUCCUGAAGUUGUAACAGCCAGGGGCCAGGAUGGAGGAGGAGGACCCCAUAAUCUGCCCAUCUGGGACUUGGCAGGGGACCUGGGAAAAUGUACCCCAACCCAUCCCUUAAGGGCCUUUGUC